AGAGGAUGUAUGUUCGCUCUGAUUUGCC
rnacentral:piRNA from 1 species